rnacentral:rRNA from 1 species
AGUGAACGCUGGCGGCAGGCCUAACACAUGCAAGUCGAACGACAGCACGGUAAGCUCUUGCUUCUACGGGUGGCGAGUGGCGGACGGGUGAGGAAUACAUCGCACUCCACUUUUACUUGGGGAACUUGUAGGAAACCUUACUCUUAUACGGCAUUAUACUUACCGGCGUAAGCCAGGGGUGUUAGGCGGUUUUGCUGUUGCUUAUGCCUGUGUCCGCGCCGCAAUAGCUAGUUGGUAAGGUAAAGGCUUACCAAGGCCACGAUGCGUAGCGGGUCUGAGAGGAUGAUCAGCCACACUGGAACUGAGACACGGUCCAGACUCCUACGGGAGGCAGCAGUAGGGAAUAUUGGACAAUGGGCGCAAGCCUGACCGAGCCAUGCCGCGUGAGUGAAGAAGGUCUUCGGAUUGUAAAACUCUGUUAUUGGGGAAGAAAAAAUGUAGAUGAAAACACGGAUGUUCUGACGGUACCUAAAGAGAAAGCACCGGCUAACUUCGUG